UUUUUGAAAUAUGAAAAUUAUAAUCCUAAAACCCAUCCUUAAUCCCUCCGAACAACAGGAUCAAUAUAAACGAAACUGAAUUGUAAUAAAUCUUUACCGUCAACAACACGACCUUUUUCCGUUUUCUUAUGAGACGGAAACGAUUCUUCCCCCCCAAACAACAGAAAAUCAGAGCUCGUAAUGGACUUUUCCUCUCCUCGCUGCCGCUCGCCGCUCUCACUCUCCCGCACCCGCACCCGCAACCGUAGAUGGCGUCAGAGUCGGACUGGCACCGCCGUCGUUGUGGUGGCUGCACUCGUGAUUUCCACCGCAGCCUGGCUGUCUCUUGUAUUUUCUGGCACUACUGCUCGGUGUUGGCAUAGGUUUAAGAAUUGGGAAGGCAGUCCUCAUGCUCUCAAAUGGAAGCCACGAAGUCAGAAGCCAAAUCAAAAAGGGAAAGAUGACGGAAUUUCGAGUUUCUCCACCGCCCCGUCUCUUCAAUUGGGCAGAAACAGGAGCCUGUCCGAGGCGGAGAGACGGAAGGUUGAAGCAGGAUUGACGUUGAAUCAUAUAGUUUUCGGCAUUGCGGGAUCCUCUCAGUUGUGGAAGAGAAGGAGAGAGUUUAUAAGGCUUUGGUGGAGAAAGAAUUCAAUGAGGGGUCAUGUUUGGUUAGAGGAGAAGGUGGAUGAUAAAGAAUGGGAUGAAUCAUUGCCUGUGAUUAUGAUUUCGGAGGAUACUUCUCGGUUUCGGUACACGAACCCGACCGGACAUCCUUCUGGGCUUCGGAUUGGGCGCAUUGUGUUGGAGACUUUUCGACUAGGUUUGUCUGAUGUUAGGUGGUUUGUUUUAGGCGAUGAUGAUACUAUUUUUAAUGUGGAUAAUUUGGUUAAUGUGUUAAGUAAGUAUGAUUAUAAUGAAAUGGUUUAUGUUGGUGGCUCUUCGGAGAGUCACUCUGCGAAUACUUAUUUUAGUCAUAAUAUGGCUUAUGGAGGUGGGGGGAUUGCUAUAAGUUAUCCUCUCGCCGAGGCGCUUUAUAGUGUUCUUGAUGAUUGUCUUGAGAGAUAUCAUAAGUUAUAUGGAAGUGAUGAUAGGCUCCACGCUUGUAUUUCGGAGCUCGGUGUUCCAUUGUCAAGAGAGCUUGGGUUUCACCAGUGGGAUAUUAGGGGUAGUGCUCAUGGUCUGCUAUCUGCGCAUCCGGUUGCACCCUUUUUAUCGAUUCAUCAUGUUGAAGCUGUGGAUCCUUUUUACCCUGGGUUGAGUUCUCUGGAUAAUUUGAAGCUAUUCACAAAGGCAAUGAAGGUUGACCCUAUGAGUUUCUUGCAGCGAUCGAUCUGUUAUGACCGUGCACGCCACCUAUCCUUUUCCGUCUCGCUUGGUUACACUAUUCAAGUGUUCCCGAGCAUUGUUCCUCCCCGGCUGCUUGAGCGCUCAGAAAUGACUUACUCUGCUUGGAACAAGAUUCGUAAUCGGAAUGAGUUUGAUUUGGAUACAAGGGAUCCUUCCAAAUCUGUUUGUAAGAGGCCGGUCCUCUUCUUCUUAGAAGACGUGAAAAGACAAGGCAACACUACUUUGGGUACAUACGUGCAGGCAAGAAUGAAAGAUGAUUUGAGAAGAAGUUUUUUCUGCUUUACUCGUUCUGCUCCUUUGCCUUACGUUGAGAGUAUUCAGGUGUUGGGGUAUCCUCUGAAGAAGAACUGGCAUUUGUCACCGCGUCGUCUGUGUUGCAAACUGAAUCAAACAAGUGAUGAACUCCUUACAAUAUCAGUUGGACAGUGUGAGAAAGGAUCUUGUGGUUCUUUUGCUGAUUCUGUGUGAAUAUGGGUUGAAUGGGAGCACUUGGUACGCUAGUAAUGCUGUGGAUAUAUUUUUUGCUUGAAGAAGGCCCUUCUCCAACUUGUGCUCUAUAUAUUCAGCAUCAUUGUUUUGGCUUCCUUCUUGCAACAGCAGUUUACUGACUGUAAUCUGGCAUUUUGAAAGCCAUGCUAACAAAUUGCAGAUACGAUAGUUCCUUUUUGUACACAGUUGAGUUUAAGAUGAGAUUGCAAACCUUCACUUCGUGGACUGCAUUCUUUGCCUUCUUUUUUCUUCAGAAGUAACAAAACUGGCAUUAACAGGCAUGCAUGCCCAUGAGACAUCCAUGCACUUAUUAAAGGGAAUGAAAGAAGGACAAAACCAACCGUGCUAUCAGAAUCUAGAUAGCAUGGAAGAAGCUUAAGUGUGGGAGGUCUGCCAACCAGAUUUCAGGUCAUUGACACAUAUUCUAGCUAUAGAUGCAUUCCUUGGGAACAAUAUGCCCAACAAAUAGGAAAGUACCCAGAAAGACCAGAGAAAGUGUCAAAAUUAUAAGGGACCCUUAGAAAAAGAAAAAAAUGUGUCGAAAGGCAUGUUGUAGUGUCAGAUAAGGCUUCGGGGAGUCAUGCCAGCAAUUCAAUGCUGUUGAAUUGAGUUGUGUUUAAGUUUGCAUUUUAAUAAAAUGUUUCUCUUCGCCCUCCGGUGCAGUUUUUUUCUCCUGUUGUGGACCUACAAUGACUUGGAGUUCAUUGGUUUGUUAUCAACUCUUGUUAUGCUCACAAGAACUAGAUCAUUCAAUUAGUUCACCAUGUCUGUUUGAUAGCAACUUCUCUAUAAGUUCUUAGUCCAAAUUCUAGAUUGGCAAGGACCUUCUUAGUCCAA